rnacentral:rRNA from 1 species
CACGUAGGGCGCGAGCGUUGUCCGGAAUUAUUGGGCGUAAAGAGCUCGUAGGCGGCCUGUUGCGUCCGCUGUGAAAGCCCGGGGCUUAACCCCGGGUCUGCAGUGGAUACGGGCAGGCUAGAGGUAGGUAGGGGAGAAUGGAAUUCCCGGUGUAGCGGUGAAAUGCGCAGAUAUCGGGAGGAACACCGGUGGCGAAGGCGGCGACCUGGGUAGAUACUGACGCUGAGGUGCGAAAGCGUGGGGAGCAAACAGG